rnacentral:rRNA from 1 species
UACGUAGGGGGCAAGCGUUGUCCGGAUUUAUUGGGCGUAAAGAGCGUGUAGGCGGCCAAGCAGGUCCGCUGUGAAAACUCGAGGCUCAACCUCGAGACGUCGGUGGAAACCGUUUGGCUAGAGUCCGGAAGAGGAGAGUGGAAUUCCCGGUGUAGUGGUGAAAUGCGGCAGAUAUCAGGAGGAACACCAAUGGCGAAGGCAGCUCGCUGGGACGGUACUGACGCUGAGGCGCGAAA